CCUGAUGCAGCAACGCCGCGUGAAGGAUGAAGGCCUUCGGGUUGUAAACUUCUGUCCUAGGGGAAGAAACAAAUGACAUUACCCUUGGAGGAAGCCCCGGCUAACUACGUGCCAGCAGCCGCGGUAAUACGUAGGGGGCGAGCGUUAUCCGGAAUUAUUGGGCGUAAAGAGUGCGUAGGUGGCACCUUAAGCGCAGGGUUUAAGGCAAUGGCUCAACCAUUGUUCGCCUUGCGAACUGGGGUGCUUGAGUGCAGGAGGGGAAAGUGGAAUUCCUAGUGUAGCGGUGAAAUGCGUAGAUAUUAGGAGGAACACCAGUGGCGAAGGCGACUUUCUGGACUGUUACUGACACUGAGGCACGAAAGCGUGGGGAGCAAACAGGAUUAGAUACCCUGGUAGUCCACGCCGUAAACGAUGAGCACUAGGUGUCGGGGUCGCAAGACUUCGGUGCCGCAGUUAACGCAUUAAGUGCUCCGCCUGGGGAGUACGCACGCAAGUGUAAAACUCAAAGGAAUUGACGGGGACCCGCACAAGCAGCGGAGCAUGUGGUUUAAUUCGAAGCAACGCGAAGAACCUUACCAGGACUUGACAUCCUCUUGACAGAUCCUUAAUCGGAUCCUUCUUCGGACAAGAGAGACAGGUGGUGCAUGGUUGUCGUCAGCUCGUGUCGUGAGAUGUUGGGUUAAGUCCCGCAACGAGCGCAACCCUUGCCAUUAGUUGCCAUCAUUUAGUUGGGCACUCUAGUGGGACUGCCGGGGAAAACUCGGAGGAAGGUGGGGAUGACGUCAAAUCAUCAUGCCCCUUAUGUUCUGGGCUACACACGUGCUACAAUGGCCGGUACAACAGGCAGCGAACCCGUGAGGGGGAGCGAAUCCCAAAAGCCGGUCCCAGUUCGGACUGUAGGCUGCAACUCGCCUACACGAAGUUGGAGUUGCUAGUAAUCGCGGAUCAGAAUGCCGCGGUGAAUGCGUUCCCGGGUCUUGUACACACCGCCCGUCACACCAUGGAAGUUGGGGGUGCCCGAAGUCGGUUAGUUAAUCUAUCGCCUAAGGCAAAACCAAUGACUGGGGUGAAGUCGUAACAAGGUAGCCGUAUCGGAAGGUGCGGCUGGAUCA
rnacentral:rRNA from 1 species